rnacentral:rRNA from 1 species
UACGUAGGGUGCAAGCGUUGUCCGGAAUUAUUGGGCGUAAAGAGCUCGUAGGCGGUUUGUCGCGUCCGCUGUGAAAACUCAGGGCUUAACCCUGAGCCUGCAGUGGGUACGGGCAGACUAGAGUGUGGUAGGGGGAGAUCGGAAUUCCUGGUGUAGCGGUGGAAUGCGCAGAUAUCAGGAGGAACACCGGUGGCGAAGGCGGAUCUCUGGGCCAUAACUGACGCUGAGGAGCGAAAGCAUGGGGAGCGAACAGG